CAGAAUUAUCUUGCAGCAAAGCAAGAAAUGAGGGCAGAAGAGGAAUCACACUAUGUAUGUUUGCCCAAUGUGAAACACACUACGUUCCAUUGAGAUGCUCGUGGCCAGUGGCACAGGCAUUCACAAACAGACAGGCCAGAGGUCAGCUGUCCCAGAAGAGGAAUCUUGCUGUAGAGGAAGAUGAAUCCUCUUCAGAGGGACACCAUAACUCAGGCACUCAGGCUCCAG